rnacentral:lncRNA from 1 species
CAUCCCCUAAAGACAGUGGAUCAACAAUGAAGCUCAUCCCUGGGAUCAAUAGGGUUUAUCAGUUCUAGUUGUAAUUUCUUUUUUGCUAAGUGUUUUUUGUAUUAAAAGUUGUACUCUUUGGGAAAUAAUUUUAAUAAAAUGAGCAUGCAUGUUUUUGAAAUCAAUCCAUUCGUUUACACUCUCUUUCUUAUGCCAUCAUGAAAAUAAAAAUAAAAAGCAAUCAAACCUUUUAUUCUCACCUCUCAUCUAUUAACAAACUUAUGAGGAGAAUGAUGUAAAAAAAAAACAACUAAAUUUGCUAAGUAUGCUUUUAAUAGUAAGACCUGGCUGACGAUGUAAGGCAUUGUUUCACUUCCCCAAACACUGGAGAAA